AGUUCGAUUAUGGCUCAGAUUGAACGCUGGCGGGAUGCUUUGCAUACAUGCAAGUCGAACGGCAGCACGGACUUCGGUCUGGUGGCGAGUGGCGAACGGUGAGUAAUGUAUCGGAACGUGCCUAUAUGGGGAUAACUACGAAAGGGUAGCUAAUACCGCAUACCGCCCUUCGGGGGAAAGCGGGGACCUCGGGCCUCGCACUAUUAGAGCACGAUAAUGGAUUAGCUAGUUGGUGGGGUAACGGUCACCGGCUAUGACGAUCCGCAUGGUUUGAGAGGACGACCAGCCACACUGGGACUGAGACACGGCCCAGACUCCUACGGGAGGCAGUGGCGGGGAAUUUUGACAAUGGGGAACUUGAUCCACACCUAUGAUGAAGGCCUUCGGGUUGUAAAGCACUCUUGGCAGGAAAGAAACGGCACGGGAUAACACCCUGUGCAACUGACGGUACCCUGCAGAAUAAGCACCACAACUACGCUGGCAGCCGCGGUAAUACGAAAGGGGCAAGACCGACCACCGGGGCGAAGGCGCAGGCGGUUCGGAAAGAAAGAUGCGGAAACCUGAGCUAACUGGGAACUGCAUUUUUAACUACUGAGCUAGAGGCAUUAGAGGGAGGUGGAAUUCGCGUGUAGCAGUGAAAUGCGUAGACAUGUGAGAACACCGAUGGCGAAGGCAGCCUCCUGGGAUAACACUGACGCCUUAUGCACGAAAGCGUGGGGAGCAAACAGAUUAGAUACCCUGGUAGUCCACGCCCUAAACGAUGUCAACUAGCUGCUGGGGCUCUUCGGCCUUAGUAGCGCAGCUAAUCGCGUGAAGUUGGACUGCCUGGGGAGUACGUAUCGUGAUUAAAACUCAAAGGAAUUGACGGGGACCGGCUGGUGGAUGAUGGGAUUAAUCGAUGCAACGCGGCGUAAACUCACUCACUCCUUGACAUGUUCAAACUCAAGAGAUUUGUAUGGUCGCAGAGAACUGAAAUACAGGUGCUGCAUGGUUGUCGUCAGCCUGUGUCGAGAUGUUGCUGAGUCCCGCAACGAGCGCAACCCUUGUCAUUAGUUACACAGCGGCAAUUUGAGACUGCUGCACAAACCGGAUAGUGAUGACGUCAUCCUCAUGGCCCUUAUGGUAGCUUCACACGCUAUACAAUGUCAAUAGAGGGUCGCUAACCCGCGCAGGGGAGCCAAUCCCAGAAACCCGAUCGUAGUCCGGAUCGCAGUCUGCAACUCGGAUCGCGUGAAGUCGGAAUCGCCAGCACCUGCGAUCAGAAUGUGAAUACGUUCUCCGGGUCUUGCACACACCGGCCCGCCACCAUGGGAGUGGGUUUUACCAGAGCAGUUAGCCUAACUUUACAGGCGAUUACCACGGAUUCAUGACUGGGGUGUUUUUAACAUCCGUAACCUUUGGGUAGGUAUUACCUGAUGCUCCCA
rnacentral:rRNA from 1 species